AGAAUGCCCGCGUGAGGGAUAGCAGUGAAAAACCCACAGCCUGACGAAGGAAGAGCGAGGACUUGCAACGAAUAGCCCGACCCUUU
rnacentral:sRNA from 1 species